UAUUAGUUUGGCUCUGUCUAAUAUGAAUGAUGUAAGCUAUAGAAUACACAUGGUUUCAGUUGAAAGAGGCGAAAGGAAAAAUAAUAAGUUUUAUAUAAAACAUGUAAGGAUUAAAAUUUUCCCGGGUAUUAUAGUUAUAUAUUAUGUCGCGAUGUCCGCUAACACCAGUGUUGAAGAUUAAAGCAAAAGUGAAAGCUUGAUUUAGUUUAGCUAUCAGGUCUGGUCAACUCGGUGCCAGCAUCCGCGGUUAAACCGGGGGACCUAGUCAUUUUUUACGGUAAAAAACAGUUAAGAAGUAUAUAGUGUUAGUUAAUUAAUAUUAUAAGGUAAAAUUUGAAUAUUAAAAUAAACCUUCAAAGCAAAAUUCUGAGCUGUGAAAGCCUUGAGGGAAACUGGGAUUAGAUACCCCAUUAUUCAAGGGCAUAAAAGAAUUACCAGGGUACUACGAACUGUGUUUAAAACUCGAAGGGCUUGGCGGUGUUUUAGACCCCCCAGGGGAACCUGUCUCAUAAUCGAUAGUCCACGUAAUACCUGACCCGUUUUUAUGGCUUGUAUACCGUCGUCGUUAGCUAACUUUCAAGAGAAUAAAAGUUGACAGGUAACAUCUAUAGUUUGACGUCAGAUCAAGGUGCAGCUUAUAGCCGGGGCGGGAUGGGUUACAAUUACAAAUUAUAUUACCGAAGUUGUUUGAAAAACUUCUAUAAAGGCGGACUUGGAAGUAAGAAAGAAUAUAAAAACAUUCUGAAUCCGGCUCUGGAAUGUGCACAAAUCGCCCGUCGCUCUCGUUGAAAAAUGAGAUAAGUCGUAACAUAGUAGGGGUAAUGGAAAUUGUUCCUAGAAAAAU
rnacentral:ncRNA from 1 species